AUUGAACGCUGGCGGCAUGCCUUACACAUGCAAGUCGAACGGCAGCGGACCUUCGGGUGCCGGCGAGUGGCGAACGGGUGAGUAAUAUAUCGGAACGUACCUUUCAGUGGGGAUAACGUAGCGAAAGUUACGCUAAUACCGCAUAUUCUGUGAGCAGGAAAGCAGGGGAUCGCAAGACCUUGCGCUGAUUGAGCGGCCGAUAUCAGAUUAGCUAGUUGGUGAGGUAAAGGCUCACCAAGGCGACGAUCUGUAGCGGGUCUGAGAGGAUGAUCCGCCACACUGGAACUGAGACACGGUCCAGACUCCUACGGGAGGCAGCAGUGGGGAAUUUUGGACAAUGGGCGCAAGCCUGAUCCAGCCAUGCCGCGUGAGUGAAGAAGGCCUUCGGGUUGUAAAGCUCUUUCGGCCGGGAAGAAAUCGCACGGGUUAAUACCCUGUGUGGAUGACGGUACCGGAAUAAGAAGCACCGGCUAACUACGUG
rnacentral:rRNA from 1 species